AUAUUUAACUGUAAGGGAAGAUACAAUGAUCAAGAUGGUGGUUUUUCCAGGGUGAGGCUUAUCCAUUGGACUCUGAAUGUGUUGAUCCCUGCCAUUUCCUCAAAUGUGGGAAACUUGACCAUAAUUUAUGAUAGUGGAGUACUGUGAUCAUGCAAUAAACUUAU
ensembl:snRNA U1 U1 spliceosomal RNA